UAAAACCCUAAUAGGAUUCGUAAUUUGUUCACCAACACUAUUUAGUGUGUGUUUAAUACCGUUACACUACUUGGACUCCGAAUUAUCAAUAGCUUGAUUUGUUCUAUUGGUCAUCUAGCUUAUGAAUAGAUAGUAUAUGG